UUGAACAUCGUCAAAUAGCAAUUAUAUUAGAGAUAUCGAAUUUGUCUCUGACGGCUGACCACGGAGGUACUGGCAGACGUUAUCGAGACAGAUUGAGGAAGGGUCGGUGCGAGUUUCGCCCGGCCUUUUUUCUU
rnacentral:sRNA from 1 species